UAUAUAUAUAUAUUUUUUUUUAUUGAAAUAUAUUAAGAUAUUGUUUAGUAUUACAUUUUUUUAUUAUUAUGAAAAUGUUAUUUACUUCUUUCAGUUUUAUAUUUUUAUCUAUUAUCACACUUAGUUCCCUAACCUUACAAAAGGUAAUACCAACUGUUCGUUGGGGGCAAAAUUCGUAUAAGCUUACAUUAGUUGUUGUAAUUCCAUCAUUAAAAAAGAACGAUGUAAAAUUUACAGAAAAUAACUUAUAUUUAUCUGCUGUUGAUGAAAAGGGGGAAGAUAUCAAUCUAAAUAUAAAUUUCCUAAGACCAAUAAAACCAGAGGAUAGUACUUAUAAUGUUAUAGAACGAGGUUUGAAAUUAAAAAUUGUAAAGCAAAAUAAGGAACCAUGUUGGAAACGUUUAACAAAAGAAGAUGAAAAAAUUAAUUAUCUUCUUAAAGACAAAACUAUGGGUGAUCCAAAUGACUGUGAAGAUGCCAAGUAUCAAUGGUUGCAAGAUUAUAAACUUUACAUACGCAGAAAGAAUCCAAAAAAAGAGGCAAUAAAAAAAAAAGUGGACCAGUAGAUAGUAUACUUGAAUCAUUGAGCAACAUCCACGGUAAUUUUUCUAUACAUGAAUAUUAAAUAGAAAAAGGUAAAAAAAAUAAAAAAAAUAAAAAAAAUUACA
ensembl:lncRNA